GAGAAAUCUCAAGUUCAAGGAGUUCAGAGAUCAGCUCAAGUCUUCUAGCAGAUUUUUUCUGGGAUCGAACAAAGUCAUGCAGGUAGCACUAGGUCGUUCAGACUCUGAUGAGAUUCGUCCUGGCCUCCAUAAGAUUUCUAAGCUUGUUCGCGGCGAUUCGGGUCUUUGCUUUACUAACUUAUCAAAGGAGGAGGUCCAAAGGUUGUUUAAUGAAUAUGAAGAACAUGACUUCGCGAGGACUGGCACUACAGCAACUGAAAAGGUGGAGCUACAAGAAGGUCCUCUUGAUCAGUUCACACAUGAGAUGGAGCCAUUCCUGCGGAAACAAGGGAUGCCAGUGCGGUUGAACAGAGGUGUUGUGGAGCUCGUGUCUGACUUUGUUGUAUGUGAAGAAGGGAGGCCAUUGUCACCAGAGGCAGCUCGGAUACUGCGUCUGCUUGGGAAGAAGAUGGCUACUUUCCGACUCAACUUAAUAUGCAGGUGGUCUCCUGAUGAAUUUGAAAUCUACAGAGAAGGAUUGGAAGAAUCAGAUAUUGAAUCCUCAUAGACUGCUCUCAAGCCUCACGUGUUUUACGAUGUUAAAGUUUUGGCAUCCGGAGGAACUCCUAUAACCUCUUGCUAGCUGAAGUUAUAAAUGGAGUGCUUCUUUACUUGGUUCUCAGAAAUAUUACGUUGACCGAUCACAGUUUUACAAUGUUAAAUUUGGCAUUCAGACCUCAACUCAGUAUGUGUAAUGUGUUUGAAUUAUUUGACUGUUCGAUGCAACAUAGUUUUAUGUAAAAUCUUUUACUGGUAGUAUAUCGUGGCAACUUCAUAU
rnacentral:misc_RNA from 1 species